UACGUAGGGUGCGAGCGUUGUCCGGAAUUAUUGGGCGUAAAGAGCUCGUAGGCGGUUUGUUGCGUCGGCCGUGAAAACCUGCAGCUUAACUGUGGGCCUGCGGCCGAUACGGGCAGACUUGAGUUCGGUAGGGGAGACUGGAAUUCCUGGUGUAGCGGUGAAAUGCGUAGAUAUCGGGAGGAACACCAGUGGCGAAGGCGACUACCUGGCCUGUUCUUGACGCUGAGGCGCGAAAGCUAGGGGAGCAAACGGG
rnacentral:rRNA from 1 species